rnacentral:tRNA from 1 species
UAGGCUUUAGUUUAAGUAAAAUAUCUGGGUUGCAUUCAGAUGAUGUAAGAUAUGUCUUACAGGUCUUG